rnacentral:rRNA from 1 species
GACGAACGCUGGCGGCGUGCCUAAUACAUGCAAGUCGAGCGCAGGAAACUGACGGAACUCUUCGGAGGGAAGGCAGUGGAAUGAGCGGCGGACGGGUGAGUAACACGUAAGGAACCUGCCUCAAGGAUUGGGAUAACUCCGAGAAAUCGGAGCUAAUACCGGAUAGUUCAWCGGACCGCAUGGUCCGUUGAUGAAAGGCGCUYCGGCGUCACCUUGAGAUGGCCUUGCGGUGCAUUAGCUAGUUGGUGGGGUAACGGCCCACCAAGGCGACGAUGCAUAGCCGACCUGAGAGGGUGAUCGGCCACACUGGGACUGAGACACGGCCCAGACUCCUACGGGAGGCAGCAGUAGGGAAUCUUCCACAAUGGACGAAAGUCUGAUGGAGCAACGCCGCGUGAGUGAUGAAGGUUUUCGGAUCGUAAAACUCUGUUGUAAGGGAAGAACACGUACGAGAGGAAAUGCUCGUACCUUGACGGUACCUUACGAGAA